AGUGAACGCUGGCGGUAGGCCUAACACAUGCAAGUCGAACGGCAGCACAGUAAGAGCUUGCUCUUACGGGUGGCGAGUGGCGGACGGGUGAGGAAUACAUCGGAAUCUACUUUUUCGUGGGGGAUAACGUAGGGAAACUUACGCUAAUACCGCAUACGACCUACGGGUGAAAGCAGGGGAUCUUCGGACCUUGCGCGAUUGAAUGAGCCGAUGUCGGAUUAGCUAGUUGGCGGGGUAAGGGCCCACCAAGGCGACGAUCCGUAGCUGGUCUGAGAGGAUGAUCAGCCACACUGGAACUGAGACACGGUCCAGACUCCUACGGGAGGCAGCAGUGGGGAAUAUUGGACAAUGGGCGCAAGCCUGAUCCAGCCAUACCGCGUGGGUGAAGAAGGCCCUCGGGUUGUAAAGCCCUUUUGUUGGGAAAGAAAAGCAGCAGGUUAAUACCCCGCUGUUCUGACGGUACCCAAAGAAUAAGCACCGGCUAACUUCGU
rnacentral:rRNA from 1 species